GACGAACGCUGGCGGCAGGCUUAACACAUGCAAGUCGAACGCCCCGCAAGGGGAGUGGCAGACGGGAGAGUAACGCGUGGGAAUCUACCCAUCCCUACGGAACAACUCCGGGAAACUGGAGCUAAUACCGUAUACGCCCUUAGGGGGAAAGAUUUAUCGGGGAUGGAUGAGCCCGCGUUGGAUUAGCUAGUUGGUGGGGUAAAGGCCUACCAAGGCGACGAUCCAUAGCUGGUCUGAGAGGAUGAUCAGCCACAUUGGGACUGAGACACGGCCCAAACUCCUACGGGAGGCAGCAGUGGGGAAUAUGGGACAAUGGGCGCAAGCCUGAUCCAGCCAUGCCGCGUGAGUGAUGAAGGCCUUAGGGUUGUAAAGCUCUUUCACCGAUGAAGAUAAUGACGGUAGUCGGAGAAGAAGCGAAAGUGACGGUACCUGCAGAAAAAGCCCCGGCUA
rnacentral:rRNA from 1 species